AAAGCCUGACGGACAACGCCGCGUGGGUGAAGAAGGUCUUCGGAUCGUAAAGCCCUGUUGCCCGGGACGAACGCCCCCGGCGCGAACAGCGCCGGGGGGUGACGGUACCGGGCGAGGAAGCCACGGCCAACUACGUGCCAGCAGCCGCGGUAAUACGUAGGUGGCGGGCGUUGUCCGGAAUCAUUGGGCGUAAAGGGAGCGCAGGCGGGCAUGCAAGUCCAUCUUAAAAGCGCGGGGCCCAACCCCGCGAGGGGAUGGAAACUGCAUGCCUUGAGUGCAGGAGAGGAAAGCGGAAUUCCCAGUGUAGCGGUGAAAUGCGUAGAUAUUGGGAGGAACACCAGUGGCGAAGGCGGCUUUCUGGACUGCAACUGACGCUGAGGCUCGAAAGCCAGGGGAGCGAACGGGAUUAGAUACCCCGGUAGUCCUGGCCGUAAACGAUGAAUGCUAGGUGUGGGGGGUAUCGACCCCUCCCGUGCCGGAGUCAACGCAAUAAGCAUUCCGCCUGGAGAGUACGGCCGCAAGGCUGAAACUCAAAGGAAUUGACGGGGGCCCGCACAAGCGGUGGAGUAUGUGGUUCA
rnacentral:rRNA from 1 species